GGCGCCCGUGAAUUGGCUUGGCGCGCCCAACAAAAAUCUUUUCCCCAUCUCACGCCCUCGGUUUAUCUUCUCCUCUGCCGCCCGCCGCCUACCAUGGUUCGGCGCCUCGCCUCCACGCCGGGGCCUCCCACACCGGCGCCUCCUCCGGUCUGGUGCCUCCUAGGGUCCGGACCCUGCACGGCUCCAUGCCUGCGCAUCUCGAAUGCGGGGCCUCCAUGCCGGCGCGACUAGGGUUUGGUCGCGCUGCACUGCCAACCACUACCUCCCCACACCGACGACACCCUCAGGCCCCUGUGCCCCACCCCUCGAAGCUCGACCCCGAGCGCUCCCUGGAACUCUUACCGCGAAUCCCUCUCGCUGGGGAGGUGGAUAUCCAUAGGUACGGCAAAAAAAGAAGAAGCUCUACGCGUCAAUUUCUCUAUUCCCGUUCCAAGGAUUCUUUGAUGGUGUAUUGUUCUCUUUAUCUCGUUCUGCUAGGUUUCGCCCACUGCUGGGGAAAUCCAGUCGCCUCAAGACACGAAUCUGUGAAGCAGGAUCUUGCUGCAAGUCUGAAUGUGCUGUGGUACUGAUCUGUUCCUAUAUUUCGUUUGAAGGAUCUCUACGAGUUAGUUGCAGUAGCUUUGUGCAAUUUGCAUUGAUGGUGUUUGAUAAAAGGCCUGUUUGAAGUGACUGAACCUGUCAGCGUCACCAUUGUUAGAAUAAUGGGCUGAAUUUCGAUGCAGCUAACUGCAUUCAGUCAGCCUUGUAUCCAUUUGCUUUUUAACUAUGUUAUUGUGCCCCAUGGACAGUUAUUCAUGCCAUGUACUGACAUUUAGAAUGUGCCAUACAUGGUUCCUGUACGAGAGUAUGAGAUAAUAUAUGCUCUGUUUACAAUGUUUCCUGAGAUGGCAAUAGAAGCACGGUCAUUCUAUUAGUGAUAUCACAACGAAUUGAAAGUUUGACCACUCGGUUAUUGUCUGUGUUAUCCUGUAUAGUAGUCAAAUGAGUGCAGUGCAUUGUUAAGUAGGAGUGGCUAGAUGGGACCAAAUUGUCCCCGCUAGUUCAGUUGGGGUUUCUAUAGAGCAGUAGAAGCUGAAUCUUCCUGUAGUUCUUUCAGCUAAAGUUUACUUACGCACUAACAUUCGCUUUAGUUUGCAUGCUUUGUUUCAACUGUUUAAUUGCUCGAAUGUCUGCUUUUACAACACUACGAUUCUUGAUCUGCAAUAGUCAUUCUGUUAGUGAUAGCAGGCUAUAAGAAAUUUCAGACUUGUGACAUGAAAAAAGUGAGACUGCUUAGCAAAAGUAUAACCUCAGUGAAAGAGUUAAAUUGUAGCUGCUGCAAUGCAUCCAUUUAAAAAUUUGGAUCAGAGGUCUACUUAACCACUUGCUUAUAUGAUCCACAGAUUAGAAAACUGUAGCUGCUAUUGAGCUCUUUUUUUUUGUGUUCUCUGUACUCAUCUGUAAUAUUUGCAUUAUCUGUACUCAUCUAAGAACCUGAAGAAUGCAAAUUGAAAGAGUGCAGAAAUGAGAGAAGCUCUAAGUCCUAUUCUGCUAAUUAAAUCAGAGAUUAGCCAGAGGUGAAGCCAGCCGAAAAUGGGAACGGGGUCUUUACUAUCGCAUGCUCAGAAGAUGCAAGGCCGUGAUGACGAAAAAGGGGUGUCCAGCGGGUCUGGGGACCAGUGAGCCAAUAGAGGUCUGCACCAAAAAGAAGGUGUUAAUCUGUGUGGACUCAUCCUCAUCUGAUGAGGCAGGUGCAUCCAUCGGCAAAAACCUCCACAAGGGAAAGAGCCCCCAAGCCACAUAUUUGGAGGCCUUUGACAAACAAAAGGUCUGCACCGAAAAGGUGUCGUGAUGAGGCAGGUGCAUCCAUCGGCAAAAAUCUCGAUAAUUAAGGGAAAGAGCCCCUAAGCCACAGCUCCGGGGACCUCUCACAAGAAAAAGGUUCUGAAAGGAAACUACAAGAUAUUGGCUAGCAAGGUUCAAUUCCUGAAGUACUCUGUUGAUGGAUUUCGUGAAGCGGUUGAAGAGCUGCAGUUCAACAUUGAUAUUUUGGAGGAGAAGGUGGACAAAAUGUACCAGGACGUGUAUUAGCUGCAGAUAGACGACCUUCGUGGAAAACUCAAUGCCGUCCUGAAGCAGCUGCCUGGUGCUAAGAAGGCGAAAUGAAGUGCAGCUAGGGAGUUUCUGCGUGGACAUAUCUACCUAGUUAUGGUGUAUCUAUCUCUAUAUUUGUAAUAACCUGUGGUUAGUUCUGGACUAUGGUUAGUUGUGGACAUAUCUACCUAGUUAAGGUGUAUCUAUAUCUAUCUCUAUAUAUAACGAGUCCGCGAUCUUGUUCAAGAAAA